UAUGUGUGUAAGGACGGUUCCGCUGUGGCUUCAUUUGCAGCUAUUUUCGUUUAUUCGUCGGAGAGCAAAUCGGAAGAAAUAACUGGCAAUUGUGUAUUAAAUGUUCGGAAUCCAAACGAACCAUGUAAACCGAACUACAAGUGUGAACACACCCUCAAAUUCUGUAAAUGGAUAAACAUGUAAAUACAGUAUGUAACAAGUGGAGUUGUCCAUUUUACUUGGGUUUUUGCAGGUUUUCUUGUUCUAAUAUUGGAUUACCAGGUUGCGAUGCUCUCUCGUUAGGAGGAUAAUCAUUCAGGAGCUCAGAGAAAAAUGGAUUCGUUUUGCUUCAUCUCUCUCUGCUUGGCGACUGAAAUGUGUUUAACGAUAGAUUAAAAGAGGGAGGCAGUCUCAAUUCCCACCAGCACUCAGCACUGACCUCCAUUCUGGAUCAAUCUGGAGCGAUUACUCUUAAAACUCUCAUUAAGAAAUUAAUUGGAGCUGCAGGACUUUAGAAAUGGGGGAGGAUGAGUGCGGUGCCGCCCAAUUGAUUUUACACACUCUUGGCUUUAAGGCCUCGGGGGCCGACUUCUGUUCCACACAAUGGCUUCUUCGGAGUUGAGAGGUAGGGAAAAAUACUGAUAAUGUGCCCUAAUUGUCUACAUUUGCUUGAAAUUAUAGGUCAUAUCACAUCAGUUCUGCUCAUGCGCUCAGCGUGAUAGCUCUUAUUCACUCUUAGAGUCUCAGUCCUGACAAUAAGCACCCUUGAUAUCUGUAAUGGAUUUGAUGGGAACAAGAGCAAAAUAGCAGUGCAAGGUUUAUUAGUUUCUUGUUGAGAGAGCCCUGUUUAUAGCUGGGCUAGAUAAGGAUGGUGCUUCACUAAUAUGAGCUGGCAGAAAUGAGCUGUGUGGACACACACGCACACUUACACACACGAGUUUGCUUGCAGCCCCUUGGCAGUUCAGCUUAUUGAUUGAGACAGAUGCAGGCUGUAGUUGAAGAACUCGCCCACAAAUAAAAAGCGAAUUCAAGACUGUAGAUGAAUUGUUAGCUCAAGACAAUUUCGCAGCAAGCUGAUUGUCAGCGCAGCAUUUGUUUUCCCACCUGUCGUAACAAACUGUCGGCCGUUGACAGGUAUUGAUACCCCCCUGCAGACGGAGUGAAAGUGGGUGGGCAGUGUGCUCUGAUAUCGACUCCGCAGAGCUCAAACUAACCCGAUGUGUGGUACUUGUUAUGAGGAUUUUUUUUUUUUUUUUUUUUUUUUGAUAUUCCUGUUACUGACAAAAUGGUGAUCCACACUUCAGUAAGCCAGGUUGGGCUUUGAAAAAAAAACAAAAAACAACUAACCUUGACCAUUAAAUUAAAUCUGAUCU